rnacentral:ncRNA from 1 species
UAAGUCAGAAUCCCGCCUGGAAAGCGACGAUGCAUUCGUGCCUCGUCCUCGAGAGGCGUAGCUAGACGGCCGCGUGGCCGUGGAAAGAGCCCGAUUCCGACCCGAGAGGCCGCGGCAAGAGGCGGCCUCGAAGUCGGUGGAUCCUCCUGCUCGAAAGGCGGGGUGCUAAACCAUUCGCAGACGACCUAGUUGAAGAUCGGGGUGUCGUGAUCACUAGAGCAGUACAUCUCACUGCGAUUUGUUGAGAGUAAGCCUCAAGAUCUGUCGGUUUGU